GAGCUUAGGGAGAUCCUGGGUUUACAUGCAGGUCCCUGGAUGCUCUCCGGUGAUUUCAACCUGAUUGCGGACCCGUCCGACAAGAGCAACGACAGAAUAAAUAGGCAGAUGAUGGGGCGGUUUAGGAGAUGCAUCUCGGACUUGGACAUGCAUGAGGUCUACCUUAACGGCAGGAGGUACACCUGGUCGAACAAGCGCACAGCGCCCACGUUGGAGAAGUUGGACAGAGUGCUUGUGUCUGGAGUGGGAGGCCCUAUACCCAGCAUCGUUCCUCUCUGCGCUCAGCACGGGUGUUUCCGACCACUGUCCGUUGCACCUGGUGCUUGA
rnacentral:rRNA from 1 species